CGAAGCGGAAAGGGGCGAGUGAUUCCCAAUCCUCGGUUACGCUGCUUGCGUAGUAUGCGCCGAAGAAGAAAUCCCGGGCAGCGCUUUUCUCCACCCGCUGUCUCUGCGCCGUUGACGUAGUAUGCCCCAAGAUGGCGCCGCGGUCGUCGUCGUUGGCGGCGGUGGCCGAAACGCUGGCAGAAGCUGCGGUCCUAGUCCUGGAGCAGCAGAGAGAGGGAACAAGGCGGCGGGUGGACGGCGACAGUAUUUGUAGCAAGUAGCGGUGCAGAGGGGGCUUCCCCUCCUUUUCGGCUGUUGUGUGAGGAGGCAGAGACUCUCUGGGAUAGCGGGUCCCCCGCCCCCUUCAGGCAGGGAGACCCCAAUCUACCCGCGUGCGGAGCCGACACCCUUUUCUUGGCUCAUCUCGCUGCUGCCUCCCUGGUGGGCCUUCCCACCCCUUUCCCCGACCGGAGAUGAUGAAGCUCAAGUCCAACCAGACUCGAACCUACGACGGGGACGGAUACAAGAAACGGGCGGCUUGCCUCUGCUUCCGCAACGAGAGCGAGGAGGAGGUGCUGUUAGUUAGCAGUAGUCGUCAUCCUGACAGAUGGAUUGUCCCUGGAGGUGGAAUGGAGCCUGAAGAAGAGCCUAGUGUGGCUGCUGUGCGGGAAGUUUGCGAAGAGGCUGGAGUGAAAGGGACAUUAGGAAGAUUAGUAGGAAUUUUUGAGAACCAGGACAGGAAACACAGAACAUAUGUUUACGUACUUAUUGUCACAGAAGUAUUGGAAGAUUGGGAGGAUUCUGUGAAUAUCGGAAGGAAAAGGGAAUGGUUUAAGAUAGAUGAUGCCAUAAAAGUUCUGCAGUAUCACAAACCUGUACAGGCUUCAUACUUUGAAACCUUAAGGCAAGGCUAUUUGGCUAAUAAUGGCACUCCUGUUGUGACCACAUCAUUCUCGAAGGAGAGCACACUAUCUGACAUCAGAUGACUGAAGAUAACCCUAUCAGAAAAGUUUGAAACAGACUGAAACUUGGAUUUCCUUUCCUCCCCCCUUCUCGCCGCUUUCACAUGUGUUCUUUGGUAAACAAGACAUGUGCAGCAGCCUUUGGCAGAGCAGAUGUUUGAGUGUUGCAUUAUAGUGCAAAGUGGGUGGUUUGGGGUUUUUUGUUUUUGCUUUUUCUUGGAUAUGUAUUUUGUAAUACACAUUUUGUGCAUGAAGUGCCCCUUCCCUAUUAACAAAAAUUUUGACAAUGUGAACAGCAAGGCUAUUACUUUCAUCUAUGCCUUGUCCUCUGAAAUGUUCUUGUAUAUACUAUUCCAACCAUAGCCAAAUCUCUUAUCUUUUCAGUAAAGAAGGCUACAAAUGUGAGAUCAAUUCUUUAUGUCUUAGAUUUUGUACUGUAAGGUACUGUUGAGGUCUGUGUGGUGGCCACUUGCUCCACAUCUGCACGUAACAUUUUUUAGAGGGAGAAAUCUAACACUGAUUUUGCAAGAUUUUUUUUAAAAAAACACAAGCUGCUUCUAUAAAGAGGGCUUCAUAAACUUGUCUGCCUUGUUCUUUAAAAAAAAUUCUUUAUGACAGUGCUAGUGGCUGGGCCAGUUUCAUUCCCUGCAUCCUAUUCCCUGACCCAAACUUAAUACAAUGAGACUUGAAGGAGACUUGCAAAGCAUCCCUGGUGCUCAAUUCUUUCUAUAGUUUCAACCAGUAUGUCAUGUAACAAUGGACAUAAUCACAAAGAAUUGGUCACCAUUCAUUCAAAAGCAUAUGGGUUCAGAAGCCUAAUGAAUUCCAACUUCAGUAAAUAGGAAUCAGGGAUUCAAAAUGAGUUGAAAAAUGUGAACUGGAACAUCAAGCACUAAUGCUUUUAAUUGUGUAAAAUGAUUUAUCCUCCUGUUGCAUACUGCUGGUGUCUUUUUUUGGUCCAUAUGCCUUACAUCUUACUGAACUGGAUAUUGUAAUUUGUGCUAAAGCAUUGGAUUGUACUUUGAGUGUCACCUCAUGGUGGGACAGUCACUUUAUGUCCCUGAAAAGAAUUCCCAGGGAAAAAUUCAAGUGUCCAGUCUCCUUUUCUGUAAUAUUGUAUCAUGGAGCACACUCAGAAUUGUAGACUUAAUUUCUUAAGCAGCAAAGGUACAGCUAGUUCCCAAGUAGAAUUGUUUAUAUGGGGAUCUGUGUCAUUUAAUAGGAUAGUUAACCUGAUGCAUUGGCACACAUCACAUUUUUGUUUCUGUUGAUGUUUCAUACUGUCUUGAUUUGCCAAUAGUGUUGUCUUGUUUUUGGAAAGGGCUGUGGGAGGGGGUGGAUCUGGGUAGAUUUGGGGAGGGGCAUUAGUUCAUCCCUGGCUUGAGACAGGACCUAGUUGCUAUAUUUGGUGACUACUUCUUUGUCACAGUAUAGCCAAGAUGUGAAAUUAAACCUGCAGUACUCCAAUUUAGUAGAUAAUUCUCCCUUCCCCUUAUAUGCUUAAAAUACAUUAAAAAUAUUCUGAAAUAGUCAUGCAGCCUGAUUAAAAAUAAAUUAGUAUAGUUUCUUCAAUAGACAGUUGCUAUAGAACCAAUAAUAUUUCUUAUUUUUUAAUUCCCUACUUUCUGUUAAUAGGAUAGCAUUCCUUAAAAUGGCAUCACUGAAAUCAAAAGCAAUACACAGUACAUGCUGAAAGGUGCAGUUGAAAAAAGUGGCUUAAACCUGAUCUUGAACAAAUGAAAAAUUAUGUUAUGCCACUUUAUUGCCCUUCAUUUUAACAAAUAAUAAAAUUUAGCUGAAUGAACUUGACUAAUGUCUUGAAGCGUACAAUACAAUAAUAAUUUAUUUUACUAAGUAUACGUGUGACACUAUUCAGGAUAGCAAACUAUUGCCUUUAACUAAAGUUUUGUGUCUCAUUGAACUGAUUAGGACACAGACAACUGUUUGAAAGAGAACUGAGACUCCUGACGGAGUGACUGCAGUUUUAAUAUCUAUAGCAUGCACACUUUUUUAAAACUCUAAAAUGUUUUUAUAGGGCUGUUAAACUGACACUUUAGAAUAGAAUAUUGUUAAUGAUAUUCUAAUAGUGAUUUCUUGUUUGUUUGGGUCAGGAAAAAUAAAUUGUGCCAAGAAAGUAGUUACUGUGGGAUGAAUUGAUGCUGUUUAUACAACUGCACUGAGUUGCUGAUGUUUGCCUUCUGAACUGGAAAUGGAAGAUGUGUCUCCUGGGGUAUAAACUGUCUGGAUUAUUGGUAACAGACCUUCCCUUUGCCUCCAAGGCCAUGCACUAUACUCACUACAGGAACUAACUCUAAAGAAGCUAUUUUAUCACCACUCACCCAUGGACUUUAAUUAUCACAAAAAAGGUAGAAUGUUUGGAACUGAAUCAGACUUUUGAGACUAUAUGACAGCCCUGUAUAACAAAUGACCCUGGGGUACAUGUGGCCUGCCAAGCAAUUUUGGGUAGACUGCAAGUGUUUUUUGAAAAUUCCACUGCCUCCAUGAUUGGCAGUCAUGAGGCCACUUAGUCCACAUUUUGUCCAUAAUCUGUAGUUAGCAAUUGUGGUAUGAGCAAAGUUUUUUUUAAAUUUAUUUCUGCAUAAACUGUUCUCCAUUCAGUUCUUUCAAAUUUAACUUUAGCUAAAUUAAACCAUGCUGACUUAUCUUGCCAAUCAUAGUCUAGCACUCUGAUUACUCUGCUAAAGGAAUCAAGCUACUGAUAUAUUAUAUAGAUCUAUAAGAAAAUGAUAGGUUAUUAUAUCGUAAUUGCACUGCCUACUAAUUCAUUUUUUGCAAAAAUAUACUGAUGAAACUGAACUCUUGCUUUCUAGUUGAUUGAUUGUACUUCAGUUUGAACUAUCAUGUAAAGGCACCUUACAUGUAACGACAGCUGCAAUUUGAUGAGAUAAUAGGAGAUAAUUUCCAAACAGAUUUCCUUAACAUUAGGCAUUGCGCAUGCACACCAUAAUACUUGAUUUUGAAUUCGAUGCAUCUACAUUAUUGUUAAUGCACACAAUGGAAUCUGAACAUAUUGCUCUGAUGACUAUAUAUAUGACAAAGUACUGCAACUUUUCAAACACAGUGUUCAAGCAGUUUUUCAAACAGCACAAUUUUUAUAUUUAAAUAAAUGAACAGAGACGGGUGAAGGUCACCACUAUUGGGGCAUAGGGUUGAUUACUUAUAGAAUAGGAACAUUCUUCAAUGAUUCAUUCCAAUAGUGUGAGACUAAAUACAGAUAAUUGUGUUUUUGUGGUCCCUACCUGGCAAAAGCUACAAUUUUGCAUGUAAAAAUUAAUAAAUUGUACCAUCUCAGUGUUAGAAGUAUAGUACCUUUACUGGGGAAUGUGUUUGCUUCAGAUGAUUGUUUUUUAGUAGAAGUGUCAGGUAGCAAUGUAAAUAGUUACCUAGGCGAGUUAGGCAGUAUAGAAAUUUAAUAAAUUAAAAAAAUGUGUUUUAAAACAUUGUGAUACUUCUAAGGCUGAAUGUUCUGGGUUAGUUUGGGCUACAUGAAAUCUAUAACAGCCAGGAAGAAAAAAAUUGAUAGAUUUCUUUUCCAUGUAUUAUAAACUCACUGCCAUAUUUUAAGAUAGGAUUGCAAAUUGACACUCCCACUAUUUUAUUAUGAUUUAUAUGCAGAGAGAUUUUCUAAGGGCUUGUAUUUUGGUGCAGUUUUCUAUCAUAUGAUGGCAAAAUAAUUUGUGACAUCCUUUCCAACAUAUUUCAAAUCAGUUCUCCAUGCAGAGAACUGAAAGACAAAAUGUGGACAUCUUGCUUGGCAUCAACUUCCUAAUGCACAAAUUGUGGUUGGAAAGAAACUGGAAACUAUUCAAAUCCCACUAUUGAUGUCCUAUUUGAAUGCAAGAAAUAUAUAUUCGUUUUUAACACUUUGUAGGACAAUUUGAUGCACUUCAGAAAUAGGCCUUAUUGAACUGGAUUACAUUUAUUCUCAGAACCCAGUUUCAAACUACACUUUCGGAACUUUUCGCAUUGCAGUUCAGAGAACAUCUCCCCCGCAGACGGAGGAUCAACGUGAGAGCCGGUUCGAGGCGAGACUUCCGGGAAGAAGAUGAGCGUUGCGGAGGUGUUUUUAUAUACGGAGAUGCUGUUGUAAACCUGGGAAUGCCGAAGAGGUGGACUUCCCAAUGAUGACAGGAGCUGCUUCUCGGAUCCUGUCAAGCAAGUUUUCUAUGCCAUGAAUAACACCACCAUGCCCACUUCUGCUGGGCCAACCAAUGACUCCCUGAUGAUGUAUAUCCAGAAAAAAAGGAGGUGAUGCGAGGUUGGGGAGGAUACCAGCCCUAUCGUAAUUCAUUUAUGGAUGUGAAAGCUUGAUGGUACUCAUCUUGGACUGAUCAGAGUGUAGAUGGAUGACCUCUUCUACCUGGCAUGUGUGCCAACUUGAAUGCCAUUAAUGUUGCUGCCUUUCUUCACACUUCAGUACUACAGCCUCUUGCCGUGACUUCCAGUAACAGAAGGUGUAAUGGAUGCCAGCCGUGUCAAGAAGAUUGGCACUGAGCAUCUGGUACAAAGAGUAGCCUAGGGAGUUGGAGAAUUGUGUUUGGAACUAGGACAGCUUGCUAUGUGGCAUCAUUCUUCGUAUCAGCUGAUUUGCAUUUUAUGUGGAUGAUGAGAUACAGGAGUUUAUGAAAUUUCAAGUAAAAUAUUACUGAAUAACUCUUGCAUUACGGGCAUCGAUCCUCAAAAGCUCAGCUUUGUUUUUUUUUAAAAAAGCAAUGCAGUCAACCUCCAUUUUCUUUUGUGAACAAAGAGCAUAAGAAUGCAGCUGCUAUGAUAUCCCAGCGCAUUGCUAGCUGCCUUCUCUCCUUACUUGCCUAAGUAUGUAAAAGGGUGUAUUAUUUAAAGUUGUUGGGAUUCCUGUAAUGUAUUGCUGAACUGAUGCGAGCAAAGUGAAUAAAAUUGCUAAAUGCAUAACUUGG